UGGAGGAACAACCACAGUGGCGGUGGCCAGCUCUGGAGCCCUGGAUUCAGCUCCACCAGUAACUGGAGCUCUCAGUUUGCAGGGGCCUGGAGGCUCCGGGGCGGG
rnacentral:pre_miRNA from 1 species